rnacentral:rRNA from 1 species
ACGGGAGGCAGCAGUGGGGAAUAUUGCACAAUGGGCGAAAGCCUGAUGCAGCGACGCCGCGUGAGUGAAGAAGUAUCUCGGUAUGUAAAGCUCUAUCAGCAAGGAAGAAAAUGACGGUACUUGACUAAGAAGCUCCGGCUAAAUACGUGCCAGCAGCCGCGGUAAUACGUAUGGAGCAAGCGUUAUCCGGAUUUACUGGGUGUAAAGGGAGCGUAGACGGCAAAGCAAGUCUGAAGUGAAAUCCCGGGGCUCAACCCCGGAACUGCUUUGGAAACUGUUUAGCUAGAGUGCAGGAGAGGUAAGCGGAAUUCCUAGUGUAGCGGUGAAAUGCGUAGAUAUUAGGAGGAACACCAGUGGCGAAGGCGGCUUACUGGACUGUAACUGACGUUGAGGCUCGAAAGCGUGGGGAGCAAACAGGAUUAGAUACCCUGGUA